UUAUUACUCAAUCAUCUAUGAACUUCAUGUAAAACUCAAGGUGGGGAACACCAAACUAAAUGGCCUAUAAAGUUCCUUCCUGCUUUCAGGUUCUGUGACGCUGGAAUCCAUCAUCAAGCUCUUACCACACUUCAUAAUCUAUUAAAUUAUUUACAAAGUCUAUUUAUAGCCUCCUGUUCCUGAAAUUGAGUUAAGGAAUCUUACAACAAAAGGUCUUUAAGUAAGACUAAAUAUCUACGAUAGACAUUGACGUGGAAAAGCAAGACUGAUUCAUUCCUUCACAUUCAUUAGUCUGUUAGGUGCCUUCUCCAGUCAGCUAGUUACCUAGUUAAACUCUGAGGGAAUGGAGACAAUUAAGUUUGGAGGAAGAGGCUCACAUCACAUGAGACCUGUCACUGGGGUGGUGGGAGGAGGGCCGGCGGAGGGGGUUGGCACCAAGAUUCCCCGGGCAGGCAGAGCACAUGAGCUCCCGCAGGGCACGCUGAAAAGAAGCAGGGCGGUGCCAGACAGAGGGCCAGCCGACUUCCAGCCUCCUCAACGAUGUUGCUUAAGGCUGGCUUUGUGUGCGUGCAAAUCAUUCAGAUAAUUGCUGUAAUUCUGUGCUUAGCUUGGCUGCUAAGACCCUUGGUUCAUGAAUAUUCAUAAGCUCUAUCCACACUCCACUAUUACUUAAAUUUUCCUAGACAGCUUUCAUGCUGAGCAUGCCAGCCUGUUUGUGCUGGAGAUGGUGAUGGUGAUGAUUUCUUGUCUGGGUGGAAGCAGGCUCAGCGAGGCCCAGGGACACUUCCCUUUGCCCGCCCACCCAUGUAUUUGAGCAGAAAAGGUACUCUUGCUAAGACAGCCCUGCUUCUCUGCAGGUUUCCUCUUACACAUGGAUUCUAUUCAUUCACCGUUUAUUGAGCUCUGUGCCAGGCACUGUGCUAGAUGCCGGAGCUCCUGCGUAGAAGACCGAUACCAAAGCCCAGCUGCAGCAGAACUAACACAUCUACUCCCAACAUUGAGCCCUCCACUUGCCUGGGCGACCACCACCGAGGAUGGGAAAGGAUGACAUUGGAAGGGAAUUUGCAGCCCUCCUGAUCUCCAGAUGAAGAGCUUAUGGAUAUGAAAAGGCUUUCCCAAAGAAGCCAUGGAGUAGAAUCCAGGUCUCCCAGUUCGUGAUCAGUCUUCCAUCUCCCUGGUGGGCCAGAGAUAUUUCAAGUUGGCAGAGUCAAGCAUGAGCAAGGAGAUGGUGUGGGGCAGAGUGUGAACCAUAUAUUCCUAGACCCCAGGACCCAAUUGUAGCCACUUCAGCUGGCCCAGGCUUUCCCGAAAUGUGAAGACAGCAAACUCCCACUCUUCCUCCUGCAGACUGGUGGCAAAAACACAAAGUCCACUUGAGACCAUGAAGUCCAAGGAUCUUUUCUUAUUCCUGGAAUAUACUAGGAAAAAUACAGGCACCGUGCAGCGGGUGCUGUGUUCUAGCUGCUCUGUUAACUGCCAGUUACCUCAUUUGAUCCUGAUGACAACCCUUGGGUAGGUAUUGUGGUUACCUCCAUUCUAUCUCUGGAAGAACUAAGAAUGGAGGUUAAGUAACUUUCCUGAGGCUCCUUAGCUAAGUCUCUAGGACUGGAAUGGAGCCAGGCAGCCUGACUCAAGAGCCCCACUGAGUGCUCCUCCACAGAGGACACAGCUUCUGCACCCCUGCAGGGAGAGGCCCCAACCACAGGAUUGAUAUGGGGAAAAGUGGCCUUAUUUGGCUUUUAAUGAAUUACUCUACCUCCCUUGAUUUCAAAAUAAAGGAGAAGGCUUAGAUCUUGAGAAUCCAUUUGGAUUCAGUGUAAGAAUAACCAUAGUUUGUAUCCUGGCUGGGCUGCUUACCAGGUUCAAGAUAAAAAGAAACAACAAUGAAUCCAACAAAUCAACAAAGCACAAAGUCCAACAACAAAAAAACAAACAAAGAAAAGAAAAAGAAGGGCAAACUGGUCUGAGUUUGAGUUCUUGCUCUUCUCUGAGGGAGUUUGGGCCACCUUUUAGCUGCAGUGUGUCUUGGUUUCCUUACGGGUAAAAUGGGUAUGUUCAUAACUUCUGUGGCCAUUGCACAGUCCAAGAGGGCUGCACUUCCCUUCCCACAUGUGCUUCUUCUGCUGUGGAGCUUACAUUGCUCCCUGGAGCAGAUACCUAAAGAUGUGGGAGUGAGUGAGCCUCCCAGUGGUUCUAUGCCCAGCCUUUAAGCUGGCCCAGCUGACACCAAAUGGAACAGGGCUGACUUGCCAUUUCUCAGCCCAAAGCACAUCAUAAAUGUGUGAGCAAAAUAUCAGGUGCAGUGGCUCACACAUGUAAUCCCAGUGCUUUGGGAGGCUACAAUGGGAAGAUUGCUUGAGCCCAGGGGUUUAAGGCCAGUCUGGACAACAUCAUGAGCCCCCAUCUAUAUUAGUCUGUUUCACACUGCUGAUAAAGACAUACCUGAGAAUGGACAAUUUACAAAAGAAAGAGGUUUAAUUGGAUUUACAGUUCCACGUGGCUGGGGAAGCCUCAUAAUCAUGGUGAACAGCAAGGAGGAGCAAGUCACAUCUUACAUGGAUGGUGGCAGGCAAAGACAGAGUAAGAGCCAAGCAAAAGGGGUUUCUCCUCAUAAAACCAUCAGACCUCGUGAGACCUAUUCACUAUCAUGAGAACAGUAUGGGGGAAACUGCCACCAUGAUUCAACUAUCUCCCACCAGGUCCCUCCCACAACAAUGGGAAUUAUGGGAGAUACAACUCAAGAUGAGAUCUGGGUGGGGACACAGCCAAACCACAUCACCAUCUCUAUAAAAAAAUACAAAAAAGUUAGCUGGGCAUGGUGGCACUUGCCUGUGGUCCCAGGCACUCUGAAGGCUGAGAUGGGAGGAUUGCUUAAGCCCAGUUGGUCAGGACUGCCACUGCACACCAGCCUGAUUGACAAGAGUGAGACCCUGUCUCAGAAAUAAAUAAAUAAA
rnacentral:lncRNA from 1 species